CCUACGGGAGGCAGCAGUGAGGAAUAUUGGUCAAUGGACGAGAGUCUGAACCAGCCAAGUAGCGUGAAGGAUGACUGCCCUAUGGGUUGUAAACUUCUUUUAUAUGGGAAUAAAAUGUUCCACGUGUGGGAUUUUGUAUGUACCAUAUGAAUAAGGAUCGGCUAACUCCGUGCCAGCAGCCGCGGUAAUACGGAGGAUCCGAGCGUUAUCCGGAUUUAUUGGGUUUAAAGGGAGCGUAGGUGGAUUUGUAAGUCAGUUGUGAAAGUUUGCGGCUCAACCGUAAAAUUGCAGUUGAAACUGGCAGUCUUGAGUACAGUAGAGGUGGGCGGAAUUCGUGGUGUAGCGGUGAAAUGCUUAGAUAUCACGAAGAACUCCGAUUGCGAAGGCAGUUCACUGGACUGCAACUGACACUGAGGCUCGAAAGUGUGGGUAUCAAACAGGAUUAGAUACCCUUGUAGUC
rnacentral:rRNA from 1 species